rnacentral:rRNA from 1 species
UGGGGAAUAUUGGACAAUGGGCGAAAGCCUGAUCCAGCCAUGCCGCGUGAGUGAUGAAGGCCCUAGGGUUGUAAAGCUCUUUCACCGGUGAAGAUAAUGACGGUAACCGGAGAAGAAGCCCCGGCUAACUUCGUGCCAGCAGCCGCGGUAAUACGAAGGGGGCUAGCGUUGUUCGGAAUUACUGGGCGUAAAGCGCACGUAGGCGGACUAUUAAGUCAGGGGUGAAAUCCCAGGGCUCAACCCUGGAACUGCCUUUGAUACUGGUAGUCUUGAGUCCGGAAGAGGUGAGUGGAAUUCCGAGUGUAGAGGUGAAAUUCGUAGAUAUUCGGAGGAACACCAGUGGCGAAGGCGGCUCACUGGUCCGGUACUGACGCUGAGGUGCGAAAGCGUGGGGAGCAAA